AAAAAAUUGUAUAGAAUUUUCUUCACCAAUACGAAGGAUUGCGCGUGUUAUUUCAAUAAAUCGAUUUAACUUGAAAAAGUGUAACCAAUUUUAAAAUUACUCAGUUAUAAAAACAAAGGUGUGUGUUGAACAAAAAAAAUCAUUAAUUUUUACAAAGAAGUCAGCAGAUCAUAAUGCGUUUCUUCAGGCAGUGUGUAUCGUUGUGCCUGGUGCUCCUGGGGCUGGUCUCCCUGGCCCAUGGCUCCCUGCAAACCCCCCCGCCGGGCCUCCUCUUCCCCCGGGGGUGCCCCAACCCCCCCUGCAGAGCACCCGAUGAUCGGUGAUUGACAUAUUAUGAAUAAACUUUAAGAAACAA